UGGCUGAGUAGUAAAGUGCUUGGCUUCAGAACCAGUGUACCAGGUUCGAAUCCUGG
rnacentral:tRNA from 1 species